rnacentral:lncRNA from 1 species
AUGGGGACUGUACCUGACCCUCUGAGAUCAGCCAAAACAUCCCUGAUUGCAGCUUCUGGAGAAGAAGAGGGCCUGGGAGAGGUGCAGGCUGCCUCACCCCAGCCUCGACCAGAAGUCCUGUGUGAGAACACCAAUGGCCUUUCCAGCACUCCUGCAGAGCCAGAUCUCAGCCCCAGAACAGCUGCCAAGGCCCUGAUGCAGGCCGGUGAGCAUGUGCCCUCGCAGCCAGCCAUGCCCUCUCCUGACAUUGUCAGUGAGGUGGGGAAAGCAUCUCCCACAGUCAACUCUCCUGGCAAUACUCAGCUGUCAGGGGGCAGAGAGCCCACAGCACCAGCCCUGUGUUCUGCAGCAGGCAAGGAUCUAAAAUGUGCAGCAUUUACAAUGCCAGCCAGUCAACACAUCCACCCGGUUGUUCCAGGUAACCAGCCCAAUGCCAGCCCCCAAGCAGGGCCUGAAGAUGCCCUGGUGAAAUCACAGAGAACUGCAGAUGGAGGGCAACCUGAGAAGUCAAGUUGUCCAGUGGGGGUCAUCUGUGGCAAAGAUCAAGUGCCCUGUGAUUUUCCUUCUCAAGAAACAGUGCAGGGAAUGGUGCAAACUGAAGAUACCGCAGCCAGGGCGUCCAGUCCUACUUGCGCUACUGUAGGUGGACCCGACGCAGAAAGGCAGCAAGCUGUCUGCACUUCCCAGACAAGGUCCUGUGGCUCUCCAACAGGAGAAGAUGGAUGUUCAGGGAACAAACCGCCCUCUGCCGCCACCUCAGACACCCAGGCCAUGACUUCGGUGAUUCCUCAACCAUCCCACCUCCCUAGCAACGGAUCGAUGUUUCCUCCAGAUCCAGAGAAGGUGCCGCUGGCAGCACAGCCUCAAGUGUCAAGAUUUAAAGAAGCAAGUACAAUGACCAGCCAAGCUGAAAAUGAGAUCAAGAAAACCCCGCCCAGGGCUCAGCAAGAUGCCGAGGUGCAGGCAGUGGCGAGUGUCGAGAGCAGAUCGGCAUCCACCAGCCCCAGCAUCCUCGCUGCAUUCUUAAAGGAAACCCCUGCUCCAGAGCGGUUCGAACAAGAACAGCUGCGUGUCAUUUGCCACGGCAGUGCGAACCACACAUUGGAGCUCUCUGAGAACACCCUAGCCCCCCGGGAGGCUGGUCAGUGCCGUGACCUCAUGCCAGCGGUACACAUCCAGACAGCUACAGCUGUUUCUGCAGCUUUCCAAGGAGAAAGUAAAUCAGGGAGCCUACCGGGGGAGGUCCUUAAAACCUCAGCCAUGAACACGUCAUCCCGUGAUGCUCAGGAGACGUGUAAAGAAGACGGGAAAUCAGCGGGAAUGACCCUAGCGGGGCAAGAGCUUUCCUUUAGACAGCUUUCGGGUACUAGUUCUAACUCCCUGAAAGCUGGCCCCAGUGACCAGAUUUCUCUUAGCGCACGACGUCAAGUUGAAACAGGUCAUGGAUUAGGGAAAUGUGAAACGAAGCCAUCUGAGUUUGCAGUGGCAACCACCAGUGGCCACAAACCAGACCCCGACUGCAAACUCUCCGACUCCUGUGGCCCUGCCAGCAAAGCCGACCAGUCCAGGAGCUUGGAUCUCACAAAUCAAAGGGAUGCAAGAGAGAAAAAGCUUGCGUCUCCUCAGAUAAUGAAAGAACAAGAAUCUCCUUGCAUCGAUAUCCUGGAGGUGAGGGCAAGGGCAGAAGCCAAAAGCCUACUGCUCAAUCCUAAAUCUCAAGAAAGUGGAGGCGUGGCAUCAGGUCCCAGCCCUACACCCUCCCCAGUUAGAAGGAGCCAGGAGGGCACCGGGGAAGAAACCAGACAGACCAAGACAGCUGCCAGCCUAAGCCUGCCGUCGGAUGCCAUUGGGGACUCUAGUCCUGGCUCUGGCAAAAGGACCCCUUCUCGCUCCGUCAAAGCCAGCCCCCGCCGAGCCAGCCGAGUCAGCGAGUUCCUCAAGGAGCAGAAGUUAAACGUGACGGCUGCCGCCGCCCAGGUGGGACUCACUCCAGGAGAGAAGAAGAAGCAGCUGAGUGCCGAGUCCAAGCUCCAGUUAAAACAGUCCAAGCGUGUCCGGGACGUGGUGUGGGACGAGCAGGGCAUGACCUGGGAGGUGUAUGGCGCUUCCCUGGACCCGGAGUCCCUGGGCAUUGCCAUACAGAACCAUUUACAAAGACAAAUCAGAGAACACGAGAAGUUAAUCAAAGCUCAAAGCGGCCAGAGCCGGAGGUCCAUCUCCUCAGAUACUUCUUCUAAUAAAAAGCUCAAAGGCAGGCAGCACGGCGUUUUCCAGUCCAUGCUGCAGAACUUUCGACGCCCCAGCUGCUGCAUUCGUCCUGCUCCUUCUUCUGUGCUGGACUGA